GACGAACGCUGGCGGCGUGCUUAACACAUGCAAGUCGAGCGGUAAGGCCUUUCGGGGGUACACGAGCGGCGAACGGGUGAGUAACACGUGGGUAAUCUGCCCUGCACUCUGGGAUAAGCCUUGGAAACGAGGUCUAAUACCGGAUAUGACUGCCGACUGCAUGGUUGGUGGUGGAAAGUUCCGGCGGUGCAGGAUGAACCCGCGGCCUAUCAGCUUGUUGGUGGGGUAAUGGCCUACCAAGGCGACGACGGGUAGCCGGCCUGAGAGGGCGACCGGCCACACUGGGACUGAGACACGGCCCAGACUCCUACGGGAGGCAGCAGUGGGGAAUAUUGCGCAAUGGGCGAAAGCCUGACGCAGCGACGCCGCGUGAGGGAUGACGGCCUCGGUUGUAACGUACUU
rnacentral:rRNA from 1 species